GCUCACGCACGUCCUCCGUUUCCCCGUCACUAACGCCUCACGCAAAAAAAGCUGACGUACACGGGAAAACGAUUAGGAAUUUUCGACGGAGACGAGCGCCCGAUCCGAUCAAUUGACUUCCCCGCCCCGCAUUAGCGCCAAAUAUAUCGGAUCGUCCUGUCCAGGAUUCCCAGGAUCCCAGGAAUGAGACCUCUCGGGACUAAAAACAGCGGAUAAGUGUUAGCCAGCGUGUGCGUGUGUGUGUGCGUGUGCAAAGCUGGAAAAUUGUUGCUGCGCAGCGGAGGAUUUAUAGAACAUAUAGCAGCAGAAUUGGCAUGACGAAGAUAAAGAUAAAGCUAAAGCUAAAGACAGAGGCAUAAGGCACAAGGCUAAAACCAAAAUCGGAGGCUCCACAACCGAAUUCAGUGCCUUUGCAGCAGCAGCAACAAGGUGUGUGUGUGCGUGUGUGUUGCCUGCGCAGUGUGUUGUUGUUGCAGUUGCGUCGUGACACAACAGUAACAAAAUAUUGAGCCGCCGAGCAAAACACAUGAUGUGGUCGUUCUUCUCGCGCGACUCCUCGAAAGACUUUCCCUACGACAUUGGCGAACCCGUGGGCGGCUUUGAUCAGUACUCCAUAUGGACACUGCACAAGGCCAAGCGCAAGACGACGCUGGAGGAGGUGUCCGUGUUCGUCUACGACAUCCGCAGCGGAUCCGAUACCAAAUGCGAACUGGCCAAGGCAUCGCUGAAGAGGCUGAAGACAUUGCGUCACCCCAGCAUCCUGCAAUACUUAGACUCCCUGGAAACGGACAAGAUGCUGUAUGUGGCCACCGAGGCGGUGGAUCCGCUGGGCAGCUAUUUCGCCAAGCUGGGCAGCGACAAUGUGCAGAAGGGCCUCUACCUGGCAUGGGGCAUCUUCCAGAUCACACGCGCCUUGUCCUUUCUCAACAACGAUGGCAAUCUGCGGCACAACAAUGUCUCAGCUUGGUCGGUGUUCGUCAAUGCUUCGGGCGAGUGGAAGCUGGGCAGCCUGGAGUAUGUCUCAGCGGCUGAUGGCAAUCCUAUGCCGCCCGCCAAGAUCCCAGUGACCCUGGAGGUCUACGAUUCCCCAGAGAAAAACGAUCAGAGCAAGCUGAAGGCGGCCACUAAAUGUUCCGUGGACAUGUGGGGCUUGGGCUGUCUGGUAUGGGAGGCCUUCAAUGGCGUGCUCAAGCAACGCUCCAACCUGAAGGACAUAGAACACAUACCCAAAUCCCUGCAAUCGCUCUACUGCGAGCUAGUGGGAGCCUCGCCUUCUAAUCGCCCCAAUCCGGCGGACAUAAUCACACGGUGCCGCAAGCCGGGAGGCUUUUUCAAGAAUGAUUUGGUGGACACACUGCUCUUCCUGGAGGAAAUCCAAAUCAAGGACAAGGCAGAGAAGAAUCGCUUUUUCAGUGGACUGACCACGCAUCUGGACAACUUUCCGGACAAUGUGUGCAGGCACAAGAUACUUCCACAGCUGAUAACAGCCUAUGAGUACGGAGAUGCAGGCUCGGCAGUGCUGGCACCCAUGUUUAAGCUGGGCAAACUCCUGGACGAGGUGGAGUACCAGAAACGCAUUGUGCCCUGUGUGGUCAAGUUGUUCGCUUCAACGGAUCGUGUGACGCGAUCGCGCCUGCUGCAGCAGCUGGAUCUGUUCAUCGCCCAUUUGCAGCCACAGGUGGUCAACGAUCAGAUUUUUCCCCAGGUUGCUCACGGCUUUCUGGACACCAAUGCCACUAUACGCGAGCAAACGGUCAAGUCGAUCAUCCAUUUGGCGCCCAAGCUCAACUACAACAAUCUGAACGUGGAGGUGCUGCGUCACUUUGCCAGGCUGCAGGCGCGGGAUGACCAAGGCGGCAUUCGCACUAACACGACUGUGUGUCUGGGCAAGAUUGCACCGCACUUGCAUCCGCAGGUGCGUCAGCGCGUGCUGGUCUCCGCCUUCAUUCGCGCCAUGCGGGAUCCCUUUCCGCCGGCCCGAGUCGCCGGAGUUUUGGCACUUGCCGCCACCCAGCAGUACUUUUUGCUCAGCGAAGUGGCCAACCGGGUGCUGCCUUCUCUGUGUUCCCUCAGCGUCGAUCCGGAGAAAACGGUGCGCGAUCCGGCUUUUAAAACCAUCCGCGGCUUCCUGGGCAAACUGGAGAAGGUCUCCGAGGAUCCCAGUUUGCGAGAGACAAUGGAGGCGGAUGUUCACACGGCCACGCCCUCAAUUGGCAACGCGGCGGCCACCUGGGCGGGAUGGGCGGUGACGGCCGUUACAGCCAAGUUCUAUCGCAGCCAAAGUGAUUCGUCUCGACCAAGACCGCCUUUAACUGGACGCAAUCUGUCCAAGCCAGCGUCGCUUGAGCAACCAUCGAGCAGCAGUUUAUCGACCACCACAAGCAGUGUUACCUCAAUGACGUCGCUGGAGCAUGAAAGCAAUGACACCUCCGCCUCGGCCUCUGAUUAUGGCAACAACGAUUGGGACAACGAAAAUUGGGGCGAAAUGGAUACCUCUCAGGAUCCCAGCAGUCCGCUGGCAGCCAGCUCCAACAAUGGCGCCUUGAUGGCUGCCAAUGCCUUGAGUGAAGUGCGCGAUGGCUGGGACAACGAGGAGUGGGGAAGUCUUGAAGAGGAUCCGUGCGAGGAGGAAGAGCAGGCGGAGCAGGAGCAGCAGCAACAGCAGCUGGCCAGACAAUCUAUAUCAUCCACCACGUCAUCCAGUCAGCAGCAUCAGCGCCCGCUGCUACCGCAUCAGCAACAGCAUCCCCAUCAGCAGCAGCUGCAGCAGCACGAACUCAACGACCUGAUCGAGCCGCUGGCAAAGCUCAACUCUCACGUCACCUCGCCGUCGAAGCAAUCGAUGCUGCGGCCAAAGGAGCUGCCCAAUCUAUCCAGCAGCAACACGUCGCCCACGUCGGCCACUGCCAAUUGUAAUAACAUUAGCCCGCCUUCGUCGCAUUUAAAUAAUUCGACGCAUAAUGCCAAUUGGAAUAGCGAUUCGUGGGCCGACGGGGAAUUUGAGCCACUGGAUGAAUCGGGAUUUGGAAAUGCCAAACUAGAUGAGGCGCGUCGCAAGCGUGAGGAGAAGAAGUUACAGCGACAGCGGGAAUUGGAGGCGCGGCGGGCCCAACGGGCGAGCGGUCCCAUGAAGCUCGGCGCCAAAAAGCUUUAAAAAUAAUCAGCGGAUAACAGCAUCGAGUGUUAUUUGGCUGUUAUUUUCAUCCAUACCCCUGGUUGCAACCGAUGCUCCCGCCCAGUUGUCCGCCCCCGAAUGCGGCAGCUGCCAAAUCUGUUGACGGAGUUGCCCUUGCCGUGAGUAAUUGCCUCGCCCAGUGCCACAAAUGUUACAAAUGCUACAAAUGUGCGCUGCUCUGGAUAGAAGUGCCUAAAAUAAGUAAUGCCAAGUGGGGUGUUUGAGAGGAAGAAAAAUAAAAACCGGAGGCGACUAAAGACGCGGAUCGCUAUUAAUAGGCACUGAAGUCAGAUGGAGACCCUGGCGAUAGAGCUGCACUGGCAUUACUCAUACGCCCUGCCUGCCGCCUCUCGCGUGUCUAAUUGUGCUGAAAUUGAAGCGAACAGGCCGCGAUUACCGCCGCUGCACGGGUGUGGGUAAUUAAAUAGUUGUCGUGAUAAAGUUGAGCAAAUAUUGAGAUCAUUAUGGUAAUUCCGGCUGCCCUGCAACCAUCCCGGCAUUCAGCAUCUUUGGCAUUCAUUUUGCGCUCAUUAAACUUGAAGCAAACCUUUGUUAUUUUUGCAGCCUGCGGAUUUGUCACCGAUACCCGAGUAUUCGAGUAUUGAAGCUAUGCGAUUUGGCACGCAGGUGUGCGGCGGCGGCCGCAAACAACUCUAUACCUAUACGAAAUUCACAUAAUUUCCUCGCUUGGAGCGGGCGCAAAAUGCAUUAAACGCUCUUACUAUUGCCAUUGUCGCUGGUGUUUCGUUUUCGUUUCAGUUUGUUUUAAUACCCUAUGUUCGAAAAAUUUUGGGGUAUAUUGGGAACACUAAAAUUUUAACAUUCUUGUUUUUAA